rnacentral:rRNA from 1 species
UACGUAGGGGGCAAGCGUUGUCCGGAUUUAUUGGGCGUAAAGAGCGUGUAGGCGGCCUGACAGGUCUGCUGUGAAAACUCGAGGCUCAACCUCGAGAUGUCGGCGGAAACCGUCUGGCUAGAGUCCGGAAGAGGAGAGUGGAAUUCCUGGUGUAGCGGUGAAAUGCGCAGAUAUCAGGAGGAACACCGGUGGCGAAGGCGGUGGUCUGGGCCGGAACUGACGCUGAGGAGCGAAAGCGUGGGGAGCGAACAGG